rnacentral:rRNA from 1 species
CCAAUAGCGUAUAUUAAAGUUGUUGCAGUUAAAAAGCUCGUAGUUGAAUUUCGGGAUCAAUCUGUUGGUCGUGCCUUUGGUACGUACUAGCUUAUUGAUUUCUCCCUUCUGACGAACCAUGAUGUCAUUAAUUUGGUGUCAUGGGAAAUCAGGACUGUUACUUUGAAAAAAUUAGAGUGUUUAAAGCAGGCUCACGCUUGAAUACAUUAGCAUGGAAUAAUGAAAUAGGACGUUUUGAUUCUAUUUUGUUGGUUUCUAGGAUCGACGUAAUGAUUAAUAGGGAUAGUUGGGGGCAUUAGUAUUCAAUUGUCAGAGGUGAAAUUCUUGGAUUUAUUGAAGACUAACUACUGCGAAAGCAUUUGCCAAGGAUGUUUUCAUUAAUCAAGAACGAAAGUUAGGGGAUCGAAGACGAUCAGAUACCGUCGUAGUCUUAACCAUAAACUAUGCCGACUAGGGAUCGGAUGAUGUUAAUUUUAAUGACUCAUUCGGCGCCUUACGGGAAA